AAGUCGUAACAAGGUUUCCGUAGGUGAACCUGCGGAAGGAUCAUUAAAGAAUUAGGCUUCGCGGCCAAGUUCUCACCCUUUGUAUGCCGAAACCAUGUUGCUUUGGUGCCAGCCCUUGCUUCGGCGGCGCCAGAGGUUUAUAAACCCUAGAAUCUCUGCUGUCUGAGUACUAUACAAUAGUUAAAA
rnacentral:misc_RNA from 1 species